AAAAGAAUAACUACAGUUUGAAUUUAAGCGGGAGUUGAUGAAAAAUUUUAAUCCAAUCAUAAGUGGCCCCUUGCUGGCCAGUCUCUUAUUCUAGAGUCUCUACUUAACCCUUAUGUGCACUCCCGGGUACCUAGGUACCCACCGGCGCACAUUUCUUGAAAAUUGUUUAUGUUUCAGUGGAAAUUUUUUUUUAAUCAACCUGGAUCGUUGCGUUUUGGCUAUUUUUCUAUUUAAAUAUGCUUCCAGAUUUUAUUUUUUUUAUUAGAAAUAAAGAAAAUUAUUGCUUCAAUUUAAACAAUUCGACAGGGACUCUCGGGGUACCCCGGUACCCAUGCAUAGAAUUGUGUGAUUUCUGUAUAAUUUCUUAUUCAAUCGUACAAUUUUCAUUUAGUAUCAUGACAGUGAUGUUAAAUAAAUAAGAACACUUGUUUUUGAAACAAAAUAUUUAAAUUUUUAUUGAGUUAAGCCUGCCGCAGACGAUACGUUUUUCCUUACUGGAUUUCUAACUGGAUUUCCUUACUUGCUACCAUACGGGCAGCAGUACUGGCAGCGCUACUGGCCGUGGCUUCACACGAUGCGAGAUUUCGUGCGGGCUAAGCAAUCGGAAUUUGUUUGACAGAAUUAUGAAUGAGAUGGAUGAGGUGGAUGCGAUUAUUGCAACAGUGAUACAUCGUCGAUAAAAUUGCUCUUACAUUAUUUUUAGUUAGUGAAAAAUUGCGACAACGAAAUCAACAUCGCCGACGUUUAUGGAGUCGACAGUGGCUGCAAAGACGAGAGACUCACAAUAGUGUUCUUACAAUGUUAUUUGAAGAAUUUGGACCUGAAGAUCCGAGAUCUUUUCAAAAUUUUACCAGAAUGCAAGAAGAGGUUAUGGAGGAGCUAUUAAAUCUUCUCAUUCCAUAUAUUGAAAAGAAAAACACCCCUGCCAGAAAUUCCUGAUAGAUCCAAAUAAAAAAAAACGUAUCCGAAUCUGUUUGGUUCAAUAUGUGCUUUUGAAAUCGCAAUUCCGGAUACGUACAAUCAACAUUUGUACUGGAGCAUACAAAUACACAAGAUAUACGCAAAUUCGGGUAUAGUCACACUCAUAACCUAUCCGCAUUAGCAAAUAACGGCAAAUAUAAAAAGUAUCCGCAUUUAUGCGUAAUUACGAUUUCAAAUGCACAUAUUGAGCCUAACAGAAACGGAUACACGAAAUGUACGCAGAUCCGAGAAUAUUCACAUUCAUUACCUAUACGUAAUUACGAAUUACUACAGACAUGAAAAGUAUCUAUAUGUAUAUGUAAUUACAUUUUC